rnacentral:rRNA from 1 species
AUGCGACUGGUUGGUGAGAUUUACGACCCCGCCUCCAGGGAAUUUGUGAUUCCGGGACGUGGAAGACUGCCGUUGAACGAGGAAUCCGUGUUCUGCACUUUGGGUGUGCCCCAUGGACAAAUCAAAGUCCCGUAUGAGGUUAAUAACAAGAUCGAGGAAGCGUUGUUCCCCCGUUUAUUUCCUGGGUUGGAAUCCAUGCUGAACACGUCUGUACUGGCAGAUUCGCUGCAGGCCAUGACAACCCAUGGCGAGGUUUUUAAGAUAAAACUACUCAUGUACCUCAUCUCAGCUGUUUUUUGCGCCGACCACUUCUCUUUGCCCAAGCAACAAAUGCUUCCCCAUCCUGGCGAAACUGAAAGAUGUGAAGAACAUGAAUUGGUGUAA